rnacentral:rRNA from 1 species
CUUUAUGAAGAUAUAUACAGUCUGGCCUGCCCACUGAAUUUUAAAGGGCCGCGGUAUUUCUGACCGUGCGAAGGUAGCAUAAUCAUUAGUCUUUUAAUUUGAGGCUCGUAUGAAUGGUCGGACGAGGGCAAAACUGUUUCCAGAUAAAAAACUCGAAUUUAACUUUUAAGUGAAAAGGCUUAAAUAUUUCAAAAAGACGAUAAGACCCUAUAAAUCUUAACAUUAAGCUUCAUGUAAUUCUAGUUCGUUAGUGUAAAGAAACCCAUGAUAAAAAUGUUACGUUGGGGCAACGAAGAUAUAAAAAAGUUAACUGUUUUAUUACUUAAACAAAAAUUAUUGAACUACUGAUCCUUUCUAAAGAUUUAAAGAUUAAGUUACUUUAGGGAUAACAGCGUCAUUCUUUUUGAGAGUUCCCAUCGAAAAAAGAGUUUGCGACCUCGAUGUUGAAUUAGAAAAUCUUUAUGGUGCAGCAGCUAUAAAAGAAAGUCUGUUCGACUUUUAAAUUUCUACAUGAUUU